UUCCUCACCAGCGCACAUCUUCGACCAGGGGCAGAGCCGAGCCCUAGCCUCGCCUUCUUCUGGUUUUCUUGCGUUGUGCCCUAGGUUUUCUCUUGCUGUUGGAUCCGAACAAAACAGUAGUGAGUAUCAGACAGGAGCAAGCAGUGACGAGUUCUUCUUGUGUCUCUGCUUGGUAGUGCCGAAGACAAUAUCGAGUUGUGUUUUAGCCGGAUCUUGGAGCUUCUCCGGGUCUCGACAGUAAGUUCUUCAGGAUUUGAGCAGCACUGAGGCAUCGGAAAAA